rnacentral:tRNA from 1 species
GAAAAAUUAGUUAAAUUUUUUUUUAUAACAUAAGUUUGUCAAGCUUAAAUUAUCCCAAGAUAUUUUUCA